rnacentral:rRNA from 1 species
GACAGAGGGUGCAAACGUUGCUCGGAAUUACUGGGCGUAAAGCGCGUGUAGGCGGGUCGGUGUGUCGGGGGUGAAAUCCCCAGGCUCAACCUGGGAACUGCAUUCGAAACUACCGGCCUAGAGUGGUGGAGAGGGAAGUGGAAUUCCUGGUGUAGAGGUGAAAUUCGUAGAUAUCAGGAGGAACACCAGUGGCGAAGGCGGCUUCCUGGACACCAACUGACGCUGAGACGCGAAAGCGUGGGGAGCAAACAGG